UACGUAGGGAGCAAGCGUUGUCCGGAAUCAUUGGGCGUAAAGGGCGCGUAGGUGGCGGGACAAGCGUGCGGUGAAAGCUCGGGGCUCAACCCCGCGUCGGCCGUGCGAACUGUUUUGCUUGAGCACUGUAGAGGCAGGCGGAAUUCCGGGUGUAGCGGUGGAAUGCGUAGAGAUCCGGAGGAACACCAGCGGCGAAGGCGGCGUCCUGGACUGGUACUGACGCUCAGGAGCGAAAGCGUGGGGAGCGAACAGG
rnacentral:rRNA from 1 species